GCCAGUCUGGAGGGACAAAUUUCAGAUGGAAGUUGAUGGUUUUGAGACGCUGUCGAUGAUGCUCUUAACCAACAUCCUAUCACCGUCCGUAGAGAGUUUAUUAUUCUAAUUAUUAACAGACGAUCUUCUCACAUUAAAUCAUGUUAGAGCAUUUUGGUUGAAUGUGGUGUGAAACUCUGAAAGUUGGUGUAGAGACUCCUGCUGUUAAAAUGUUCCUGAUGACGUCUGAUCUGUAACCAUGACUCCAUUUAACUCAUGAUAACAAC